rnacentral:rRNA from 1 species
GACGAACGCUGGCGGCGUGCUUAACACAUGCAAGUCGAACGGAAAGGCCCUGCUUUUGUGGGGUGCUCGAGUGGCGAACGGGUGAGUAACACGUGAGUAACCUGCCCUUGACUUUGGGAUAACUUCAGGAAACUGGGGCUAAUACCGGAUAGGAGCUCCUGCUGCAUGGUGGGGGUUGGAAAGUUUCGGCGGUUGGGGAUGGACUCGCGGCUUAUCAGCUUGUUGGUGGGGUAGUGGCUUACCAAGGCUUUGACGGGUAGCCGGCCUGAGAGGGUGACCGGCCACAUUGGGACUGAGAUACGGCCCAGACUCCUACGGGAGGCAGCAGUGGGGAAUAUUGCACAAUGGGCGGAAGCCUGAUGCAGCAACACCGCGUGCGGGAUGACGGCCUUCGGGUUGUAAACCGCUUUCGCCUGUGACGAAGCGUGAGUGACGGUAAUGGGUAAAGAAGUACCGGCUAACUACGUG